rnacentral:rRNA from 1 species
GAUGAACGCUGGCGGCGUGCCUAAUACAUGCAAGUCGAGCGAACGGACGAGAAGCUUGCUUCUCUGAUGUUAGCGGCGGACGGGUGAGUAACACGUGGAUAACCUACCUAUAAGACUGGGAUAACUUCGGGAAACCGGAGCUAAUACCGGAUAAUAUUUUGAACCGCAUGGUUCAAAAGUAAAAGACGGUCUUGCUGUCACUUAUAGAUGGAUCCGCGCUGCAUUAGCUAGUUGGUAAGGUAACGGCUUACCAAGGCAACGAUGCAUAGCCGACCUGAGAGGGUGAUCGGCCACACUGGAACUGAGACACGGUCCAGGCUCCUACGGGAGGCAGCAGUAGGGAAUCUUCCGCAAUGGGCGAAAGCCUGACGGAGCAACGCCGCGUGAGUGAUGAAGGUCUUCGGAUCGUAAAACUCUGUUAUUAGGGAAGAAUAUAUGUGUAAGUAACUGUGCACAUCUUGACGGUACCUAAUCAGAAAGCCACGGCUAACUACGUGCCAGCAGCCGCGGUAAUACGUAGGUGGCAAGCGUUAUCCGGAAUUAUUGGGCGUAAAGCGCGCGUAGGCGGUUUUUUAGUCUGAUGUGAAAGCCCACGGCUCAACCCGUGGAGGGUCAUUGGAAACUGGAAAACUUGAGUGCAGAAGAGGAAAGUGGAAUUCCAUGUGUAGCGGUGAAAUGCGCAGAGAUAUGGAGGAACACCAGUGGCGAAGGCGACUUUCUGGUCUGUAACUGACGCUGAUGUGCGAAAGCGUGGGGAUCAAACAGGAUUAGAUACCCUGGUAGUCCACGCCGUAAACGAUGAGUGCUAAGUGUUAGGGGGUUUCCGCCCCUUAGUGCUGCAGCUAACGCAUUAAGCACUCCGCCUGGGGAGUACGACCGCAAGGUUGAAACUCAAAGGAAUUGACGGGGACCCGCACAAGCGGUGGAGCAUGUGGUUUAAUUCGAAGCAACGCGAAGAACCUUACCAAAUCUUGACAUCCUUUGACAACUCUAGAGAUAGAGCCUUCCCCUUCGGGGGACAAAGUGACAGGUGGUGCAUGGUUGUCGUCAGCUCGUGUCGUGAGAUGUUGGGUUAAGUCCCGCAACGAGCGCAACCCUUAAGCUUAGUUGCCAUCAUUAAGUUGGGCACUCUAAGUUGACUGCCGGUGACAAACCGGAGGAAGGUGGGGAUGACGUCAAAUCAUCAUGCCCCUUAUGAUUUGGGCUACACACGUGCUACAAUGGACAAUACAAAGGGCAGCGAAACCGCGAGGUCAAGCAAAUCCCAUAAAGUUGUUCUCAGUUCGGAUUGUAGUCUGCAACUCGACUACAUGAAGCUGGAAUCGCUAGUAAUCGUAGAUCAGCAUGCUACGGUGAAUACGUUCCCGGGUCU